GACGAACCGUGCGAACGUUAUUCGGAAUCACUGGGCUUAAAGGGUGCGUAGGCUGCGAGGAGGGUGGGGUGUGAAAUCCCUCGGCCUAACCGAGGAAUUGCGCUCCAAACCGCCUUGCUAGAGUGAGACAGAGGUGAGCGGAACUAAUGGUGGAGCGGUGAAAUGCGUUGAUAUCAUUAGGAACACCAGAGGCGAAGGCGGCUCACUGGGUCUCAACUGACGCUGAUGCACGAAAGCUAGGGUAGCGAACGGG
rnacentral:rRNA from 1 species